UACGGAGGGUGCAAACGUUGCUCGGAAUUAUUGGGCGUAAAGCGCACGUAGGCGGUCUCGUAAGUCGGGGGUGAAAUCCCGGAGGCUCAACCUCGGAACUGCCUCGAUACUGGAAGUCUUGGAGUCCGGGAGAGGUGAGUGGAACUCCGAGUGUAGAGGUGAAAUUCGUAGAUAUUCGGAAGAAACACCAGUGGCGAAGGCGGCUCACUGGCCCGGUACUGACGCUGAGAUACGAAAAGCGUGGGGAGCAAACAGGG
rnacentral:rRNA from 1 species